rnacentral:rRNA from 1 species
ACUCAAAUGAAUUGACGGGGGCUCACACCAGCGGUGGAGCAUGUGGCUUAAUUCGAGGCUACGCGAAGAACCUUAUCCUAGGUUUGACAUGCACGGAUUAGCCUCCUGAAAGGGAGGUGACGCGGCUUGCCGUGGAACGUGCACAGGUGCUGCAUGGCUGUCGUCAGCUCGUGUUGUGAGAUGUCGGGUUAAGUCCCUUAACGAGCGAAACCCUUGUCCUUAGUUACCAGCGGGUCAUGCCGGGAACUCUAAGGAGACUGCCGGUGUCAAGCCGGAGGAAGGUGGGGAUGACGUCAAGUCCUCAUGGCCUUUAUGCCUAGGGCUGCACACGUGCUACAAUGGGGCGGACAAAGGGACGCAAAACGGCAACGUUGAGCAAAUCCCAAAAACCGCCCCCCAGUUCAGAUUGCAGGCUGCAACCCGCCUGCAUGAAGCCGGAAUCGCUAGUAAUCGCAGGUCAGCCAUACUGCGGUGAAUGUGUUCCUGAGCCUUGUACACACCGCCCGU